GAUGAAGAACGCAGCGAAAUGCGAUAAGUAAUGUGAAUUGCAGAAUUCAGUGAAUCAUCGAAUCUUUGAACGCACAUUGCGCCCCCUGGUAUUCCGGGGGGCAUGCCUGUUCGAGCGUCAUUUCACCACUCAAGCCUCGCUUGGUAUUGGGCAACGCGGUCCGCCGCGUGCCUCAAAUCGACCGGCUGGGUCUUCUGUCCCCUAAGCGUUGUGGAAACUAUUCGCUAAAGGGUGUUCGGGAGGCUACGCCGUAAAACAACCCCAUUUCUAAGGUUGACCUCGGAUCAGGUAGGGAUACCCGCUGAACUUAAGCAUAUCAAUGCGGAGGA
rnacentral:misc_RNA from 1 species